AUAAGUAUGUGCAAGCAUUCACAAUGCCAGCUUUGUUUAAUGUCAGUUUCGUUUACAACAGGUUGAAGAAAUCUUCACGUUUUAAGUUGGAUAUAGAGCCUAAUAUGCAAUAUGAACACUUCUUUUAAAAUACACUUGUAGUAAAUUUUCCAAGAUUUUUUUAAAAUUUUUAUGCUGCUUGUAAAUUUUAUUAGUAUUUCUGUACCAUGUAUUUUUCCAACAAAGACCUAUUUGAACUCCUCACAAUAUUUCAAUUUUUUUAAUUCUUUAAAAUGAUAUAAAAAAAUCAUUUUGAAAUAAUAAUAAUACAUGUUUGUUAUAGAACAAAUAAAAUACACAAUAUUAUUUCAAAAUGCACAAGAUCAAUUCAAUAUCUUGUCAUCUUCCACAUAAAAUGGUCUUCUUUUGUGGGCAAGGAAGCUGCUUGCAACCAAAUUUCUUAUGAUAGAAGUCACAUGGCUUUAAGGGCAGGUUUCCUAUUAAGCCAAGACUUCAAAAGAAUUAAAAAAAUUGCACCCAUACACUAAUAGACAGAUGUAGUGAUAUGAAUGGUGCAAACAUAGCAAGUUUGUUAUUAUUUGAGUCUAUUACUAUUCUAAUGAUCUAUCUAUCUAUCUAUAUAUACAUGUAUGAUUGUUGAUGAUGUUGUUUUGUGGUGAUCCAUGUGUGAUUUACAUCCUUAUUGACCUAAAACACGCAAUGCCUUGGAAUGGAAACCACCUCAGUUUGUCUCAUCACUUUACAAGGACAAAGGUGUGCACCUGCCUUACAUCACUACAGCAAGGAACUUAAACCAAUCAUAUAUACAAAUUAAUUAAUAAAACCCCACCUGGACAAGUGUAUAAUAUUUUGCGCACCCUCCUCAACAGCUGCAGGGCUUGGUGCACGAAAAAAAAACAUUUUAAUUCAUUUUUGUAGGAUUCCUCACAAUAAAUUCUCAGGGUUUCUGCCAGAUGCCACAGAAGGGCUUUAUUGCUUUAAUAAAAAUAUCAACAACAUUCAGACACACACACACACAGACAAGGGGGGAGAAUGUGCAGUUUCCAGAUGAUUGAUUAGGGCACAAGAUUAGUAUACCACAUAAUCCCCGCACCUGUCAUUGGCUUCCUUUCCAACAUACAAAAGCCAACUCACGGAAACCAACAAUAACAUUCAAACAAAAGAAAGAGAACAACAACAAUAACUAUGAUAGUGAGAAAUGGAUUAAGAAAUAAAACAAACAAACAAAUAAACAGUCUAUUAUGCAAUGCUCUCUGAAGAGGACAGGCACACCUUGUUUUUUCUUUGUUUCUUUCCUUCAUUAAAUGAUUCAUUUGUUUGUUUUGUCUUUAUGAAGUCAAGAUCUCAGAUACCCCCAUGGGAAUGGCAACUGGAAGAAGCCAAUUUUGAUAAGAAUUAUGCAACACGACUUGUCAGGAUGAAGCACUGCUAUAAAGAAAGGGAGUGUGAUAAAGGAAUGGGGGGAUGUGGGUGUGUGUAGAACACAAACAAUAGUACUCUUUAGCAUUGUUAGCUGUGGCUCCCUUGCCUUGUUAAAUAAAAGUGCAUACUAUAGUAUUUAUUAGGAAAUAUGUUUGGCUAUGGGGAGAGGAGGAGGAUUGUUGCACCCUUCAUCCCCUCUAAUUGGCCCUCUAAUCAAGCUCUGCAAAUGGAUCCCAUGUACAAAGUUGAUUCUUUGUAGUCCUUUUUACCUUUCAUUUUAAAAUAAAGAAAAGAAGAAGAAGAAGAAGAAGAAGAAGGGUGUUGUAGUGUUUACGGUUUGGGCACCAAAGCCUCGUGGGGAAGAAGGGUGCCAUUUCCAUUCUUAGUGCAUGGGAGAUCAUGCGGGAUUUUGCUUCACCGGGACUUCACCGUCCUGCCCGCCCACUUCGCAAGAGUAUCUAAUUAUCCCAUAGUCCAUCCAUUGCAUGCUCUUGGAUCCUUGUUGAGACCGUUUUGUCAAACACAAUUUUCUAAAAUUCCUCCGUAACUCAUGUCCAGUGUGUAAUAAUAAUCAACGACCUUCAGUUAAGGAGAUACAAUGGGUGUUGUCAAAAGAUACUAGUUGAAUGAUCUUUCUUUCUUUUUUUUCUUUUUUUUUCUUUUAAAAAAUCUGAUUUUCCACAACCAUCACAUGUCCAAGUAGUUCUUCAAAUGCAUCGAUUCAAUAUAGUUAGAGAGUGGAGUUUAGAAGAUAGAGUAGAAAACCAAAGAAAAAGUAACAGAAAAAAAGGACACAAUACAUACAAUGGGGUGUAUGUAGCGUGUCAAACUCUCCUCUUGUACCUCCUCUUACCAACAUACAAUGAUUUUUCUUCAUUGUAGUGGCUUCUUCUUCCAUCUUGAAUAUUUCUGCUCGUUACAUUCUCAAGGACAUGUACUGGUUGAGGACUUCUCCUUUUCUCUCAACUUCUCAAAGGUUCAUUCACCAAUCCAUUCCCUUCAAACACCUCCUUGCAUUUAUGUGAAAAAGAACCCUAACGAUGCAGGUGGAAGAUUUCCCCUUUUUUUCUCUCUAAUUCUCAAAAGUUCAUUCACCAAAUCCACUUCUCUCUAACAUCUCCCCCCACUUGCAUUCAUUCAUAGAAAGGGAACCCUAACAACAGAGGAGGGGCCGGUGGGGGACUUUUUUCUUUGUUUUUUUUUUCUUUGCCAUAGAGGUAUUAUGAAGUGGGGAUGGUGAUGAUGAUGGUCCAUUCAGAGCUUGGGCUGAUGACACAAGCUGCGACAAGCACCAGGCCAUCAAAACCUGCAAAGCAGGCGACAACAAAGUGCACACAUACACAUUUAUUUGUGGGGAGGGCACCAGAAUGCCAUUGCCUUGCAGACUUGGCAAACAGAGAGUGUGUGAGAGAGUGAGCAAGUGGUACUGCGCUGCAGAUGAAGUGGGGCAUGGUGGGGAUUGGACCCACUACCAUUGGGAUGGCUCUGUCAGCAGGUGAGUAGCAGCCCCUGGCUACUACAAUUGUAUGUAUGGCAGGAGGGUGAGAAGAAGACACAAAGAAGACGAAAGAGAAAUGGGGGAAAACAGGGCAUGACAACAAAUAACAAGGCUCUCUCCCAUUUGAUGGUCCUUCUGUUUUUUAAUAUGAUCCCCCUUCAGGCUUUCUUCUCGGGUACACUGCCUCCCUCUCCCUCAAAAAGGCUGCUUUGCCAGGAUGGGUUGGGAGGUACAGAGCCAGAGAUGGAGAAAGACCCAGCAAGUCAUUUUUUUAUUUGUUCAUUUUUUGUAAAAGGAGAGAAUUACAAUAAUCAGUGUGUGAUAUGGUGGAAUCAUGGAGAAGGGACUGUGAAUGUCAGCCUGGAAAAACACAAUUUCAAUUUCAAUGGGGGGGAGAGAACUGGAGUCCAGGCUCCCAAUCAAGUGUCUCCCCCACCCCACUUUGCUCUUUCUAUCUUUCUUUAGUAUAUUAUAAUAUUAACACUACUACUCAUUCAAUGUAAUAACACACAACAACAAUUAUAAGCAGCAGCAGCAGAGGAAGAAGAAGUGUGGUGUGAGGAAAGCUUGCAGUUAAAGUAUUAGAUCACCCAGUUCAGAAACUGCAGGCAUUGUCCCAUCAUCUCAGCUCUGUUUAGCUUCCUUCUAAUCCUCUAUUUUAUUAUUGAAUUUUAAUACAAGAGAGAAGGGGAGUUGAGUUUAUUUGCAA